UACGUAGGCAGCAAGCGUUGUUCGGAGUUACUGGGCGUAAAGCGUGCGCAGGCGGUUUUGUAAGACUGUCGUGAAAUCCCCGGGCUCAACCUGGGAAUGGCGAUGGUGACUGCAAGGCUAGAGUUUGGCAGAGGGGGGUAGAAUUCCACGUGUAGCAGUGAAAUGCGUAGAUAUGUGGAGGAACACCGAUGGCGAAGGCAGCCCCCUGGGUCAAAACUGACGCUCAUGCACGAAAGCGUGGGGAGCAAACAGG
rnacentral:rRNA from 1 species